CAAGGCCAUCCAAUAUAUCUGCUAUCUGUGAGCAGAACUUUGACUGGAGGCUCUGUGGGACUCAUGGGACAAUGUAUGGAAAAGGAAGCUACUUUGCCCGAGAUGCCGACUAUUCUCACAACUACUGUUCUGCUCGCAAUGGUCGCUACACCAUGUUUGUAGCUCAAGUUCUUGUUGGAGACUUUGUUCAGGGAAACUCUGAAUACUGUCGCCCUCCACCCCGAGCCAGCAAUUCAAACAGUCUUUAUGACAGCUGUGUGGAUGACCCAAGAGACCCUUCCAUCUUUGUCAUCUUUGAGAAGCAACAAAUUUACCCUGCCUAUAUCUUGGAGUACAGCAUUGAGGCCCAUUGUGUGGUCCUGUAAUGAAUGGUGGAAUCUCCUUUGAAUUCGCACUGAAUAAAUUACUCCUUAAUUACUUUUUUUUUAAUCUUUGUUCAACUUUAGUAGUAGCUUUGGAACACUUCAUAAUGUGAUUAACAAAUAUCAUUCCCCUAAUGGUUUUGAGGUAUAGUUUUUUUGGUAGGGGCUAUUCUUUUUCCAGCAGAAAGCGCUAAACUUUAGUAUUCAUUCUAGCUUGUAACAGGGAUGAACUUGCCUUGCAUACCCUGAUACAGUGACACCUACUGCUUCUGAAAGCAGCAGCACUGAGUGUACAAUUAACUGAUACGACCACUUAGGAUUGAUUCCUGCCUGUGCUGGUACUGAUGUGCCAAAGGGAGACUGGGCAAGGAAUGUGGAAGAAGGAAAAGUGAAAGUACCUACAUCAUGGUGCACAAGAGAGGAAUCAUGGCCUCUCUUUUCAGCAAACGGUCAAGAAAAGCAGGCAUAUUGCAGCUGCUGAAGUUGAAUCCCCCACCAUGCCAUGACACCGACAGUGAAGAAGUCUGUGGUGAGCUCAAUAAUGGCACACAGCAGUGUCCCACCAGGGCUGCAGAGCCACUGCCUGCAGCAGUGCGCAGUGAGACAAAGGGGCUGCGUGAGGGUGGCCACUGGCACGGCCACCUCCUUUCCACCCUGCAGGCUGAAGCUGGUGGUGGCUAUUUUGUGUUGCCCUGCUGCUGCCUGGCACUCCUGCCAAUGAUUGAGAAGUUUCCCAGUAAUGUGUGCUUUGGCUGGGAUGGAUGUGGAGGAAGCUUGGAUGGUGGUCAUAGUACUUGAAACUUGGUGGAUGGUGGGAUAACAUUUAGCGUGACCCAUAUAAUGGAAACAAAAAUUUAUGGUUUAUUUUAAAACAGUCUUGAUGUAUAAGCUGUCGUAAUUCAGCGAAGGAGUCACAAGUGGUUCGACUGUGCAUGCCAUAGGUGGAAAGAACCAAGAGGAGGGAUGACUGUAGGAUCUCAUCAGCUUUCCUAAAGCCUGUUACUUUGAGGCACAAUCAGUGCCCUUAGAAAAUAUCAGAAAGACAGCUGACUUCAAUGAGUCCCUGGGCUGCCCUAAUUCAUGAACUUCCAUGUUCCACUGCUUUUGCAGGAGCUUAAAGGUUGUUCUGUUACAAAUUAAUGAUCUAAUCUUAUCAGACACAGGUGAGCAGAGAACUUUCCAUGCAAUCAGGAAGUAAAAAUGAAAGUCAUUUAAAUAGACUUUUUCCUGGAUAUAAGAUAUUUUUUAUUUAAAAAAAAAAUAAAAAUAAGGAAAAUACAUACCAGCUGCCGCACACCUUUCUCAAUAAAGAAAGUGGUGUACUUUUAGUGAACAGUUUGUUGCUCUCCUGUACUGUCAAUACGACUGCAUUGGAAAACUGCUGUGAUUUUGUAGAGCUGUUUGCCAUGGAUUUGUCAGUUGUCCUAGGUCUGCAUCCUGUGCCUUGCAUGAACAUGAAUCUGAGCAUUAUUUGUACAAACAAUAACAGAAAGUCUGUUUUAACAUGAUAAUUUUAUAAGUAGCUGGGAUUGCAUAGAGAUCUUCUUUGUUUUACAGACUUGCUGUCUGGCUG